rnacentral:rRNA from 1 species
CCCAGACUCCUACGGGAGGCAGCAGUGAGGAAUAUUGGUCAAUGGCCGGAAGGCUGAACCAGCCAAGCCGCGUGAAGGACGAAGGUGCCAAGCAUUGUAAACUUCUUUUGUCAAGGGACAAAAUCAGGCUCGAGAGCCUGACCGAGGGUACUUGAAGAAAAAGCAUCGGCUAACUCCGUGCCAGCAGCCGCGGUAAUACGGAGGAUGCGAGCGUUAUCCGGAUUUAUUGGGUUUAAAGGGUGCGUAGGCGGGCUGUAAAGUCAGCGGUAAAAUGGGGGGGCUCACCCCCUCCCCGCCAUUGAAACUGGCGCUCUUGAGUGGAAGAGAAGUAUGCGGAAUGCGCGGUGUAGCGGUGAAAUGCAUAGAUAUCGCGCAGAACUCCGAUUGCGAAGGCAGCAUGCCGGCUCCACACUGACGCUGAGGCACGAAAGCGUGGGUAUCGAACAGGAUUAGAUACCCUUGUAUUG